UGGACCGGGCGGAGACGGUUGGAAAAGAUUUGUCAUGAGAAGUCAGCAGAGGUCAUAGUACCGCAAAAGCGGAAAGGAC
rfam:Dialister succinatiphilus YIT 11850 genomic scaffold supercont1.4, whole genome shotgun sequence.